CCUACGGGUGGCAGCAGUAGGGAAUAUUGCACAAUGGGGGAAACCCUGAAGCAGCAACGCCGCGUGGGGGAUGAAGGUUUUCGGUUUGUAAACUCCUUUCGUCAGAGAAGAUAAUGACGGUAUCUAACUAAUAAGCACCGGCUAACUCCGUGCCAGCAGCCGCGGUAAUACGGAGGGGGCAAGCGUUACUCGGAUUUACUGGGGGUAAAGAGCGCGUAGGCGGGAGUGCAAGUCAGAAGUGAAAUUCUAAGGCUUAACCAUUGGACUGCAUUUGAAACUGUAAGGCUGGAGUGAAGGAGAGGUAAGGGGGAAUGCUUGGGGAGGGGGUAAAUGCGUAGAAAUUAAGAGGAAAA
rnacentral:rRNA from 1 species